rnacentral:pre_miRNA from 1 species
CAAAUACUCCCUCCAUCCGGAAAUACUUGUCAUCAAAAUGGAUAAAAGGAAAUGUAUCUAGACAUAUUUUAGUUUUAGAUACAUCUCUUUUUAUCCAUUUUGAUGACAAGUAUUUUCGGACGGAGAUAGUAGAAA